CAUUUUGUUUAAUGAAGAAUGGAAGGCUGGCAUUCAGAGACGUGGUUAUGUGCCGCAUAUUAAUGUGCGCUCUGUAGACAUCCUCCCCCUUUUUAGAUGAGUGGCACAGGAAUGAAGCCCUCUAUAGUGCAGCCACCGUGGGAGCAGGAGCUCACAAGGUGGUGUUGGGAACAUCUUUCAUAAAUUAUGGCAUGUGAAAAUGGAAGAAAACAAUAAACGCUUUUCUAGAC